rnacentral:snoRNA from 10 species
ACCCUCCGGUUCCCUUUCCCAUCAAAUCUGAACACUGGUUUUGGUGGUCAUAAGAGGAGGAAGAGAAACACUGAAGCUGGCCUCACAGUGCUUAUGGUCUGGUAUAUAACCCAUGGGCUAGUUUCAAACAAGG